CUAUACAUGCAGUCGAGCGAACAGACGAGGAGCUUGCUCCUCUGACGUUAGCGGCGGACGGGUGAGUAACACGUGGAUAACCUACCUAUAAGACUGGGAUAACUUCGGGAAACCGGAGCUAAUACCGGAUAAUAUAUUGAACCGCAUGGUUCAAUAGUGAAAGACGGUUUUGCUGUCACUUAUAGAUGGAUCCGCGCCGCAUUAGCUAGUUGGUAAGGUAACGGCUUACCAAGGCAACGAUGCGUAGCCGACCUGAGAGGGUGAUCGGCCACACUGGAACUGAGACACGGUCCAGACUCCUACGGGAGGCAGCAGUAGGGAAUCUUCCGCAAUGGGCGAAAGCCUGACGGAGCAACGCCGCGUGAGUGAUGAAGGUCUUCGGAUCGUAAAACUCUGUUAUUAGGGAAGAACAAAUGUGUAAGUAACUAUGCACGUCUUGACGGUACCUAAUCAGAAAGCCACGGCUAACUACGUGCCAGCAGCCGCGGUAAUACGUAGGUGGCAAGCGUUAUCCGGAAUUAUUGGGCGUAAAGCGCGCGUAGGCGGU
rnacentral:rRNA from 1 species